AUUUUUAUAGUGUAUAAACACAUAACAUUUUCGUUGUUAAAAAGCCAAAAAGCUAAAAAUA
rnacentral:tRNA from 1 species